rnacentral:rRNA from 1 species
AUUGAACGCUGGCGGCAUGCCUUACACAUGCAAGUCGAACGGUAACAGGUUAAGCUGACGAGUGGCGAACGGGUGAGUAAUGUAUCGGAACGUGCCCAGUCGUGGGGGAUAACUGCUCGAAAGAGCAGCUAAUACCGCAUACGACCUGAGGGUGAAAGCGGGGGAUCGCAAGACCUCGCGCGAUUGGAGCGGCCGAUAUCAGAUUAGGUAGUUGGUGAGGUAAAGGCUCACCAAGCCGACGAUCUGUAGCUGGUCUGAUAGGACGACCAGCCACACUGGGACUGAGACACGGCCCAGACUCCUACGGGAGGCAGCAGUGGGGAAUUUUGGACAAUGGGCGCAAGCCUGAUCCAGCCAUGCCGCGUGCGGGAAGAAGGCCUUCGGGUUGUAAACCGCUUUUGUCAGGGAAGAAAAGGUUCUGGCUAAUACCUGGGACUCAUGACGGUACCUGAAGAAUAAGCACCGGCUAACUACGUG